CUCAACAAUUCCCACGAGUGCAAUCAAAAGGCCAUCAUAUCCUCCAGAGCAUAUCUGUGGUUUUUCCCGGCAUUUGGGCAAGACCUUGUCCGAAAGGAGGAGAGUUUAACCUCAUUAGCGGAUACUAAGCGGGCAUUCGAUAGCUGCAUCCUGAGCAGAUGAGAUGGAAGAUUAAACUUUUAGCUCAAAGUGCCCUUACUGCUGAUUUGUUUCAUGACCUGAUUGAACAAGAACAGAGACCUGUGGAUCUAUAUCAGCUCAGCUGGCAGUGGCCUUUGUUGCUUCGUGCAGACACGGAGUAUUGGCUUGUGGGAUUGCUGGGGGAUUGAUGAGGGAAGGAUGAGGAGCUCGUCUGUGUUAAACUCUCUUCAGACUGGGUGGCCUAGUCCUCCCACAGCUCCCACAGCAGGUGGAAACCAAGAAUUGCUAUUAAACGAAGUGAGGCUUAGUGCAGUGCAGCCCCUCAAGCUCAAGGUUUAUGCGGUGUUAGCUGCCACUUCAUUGACUCUCGACUGGCCCAUUAGGCUUUGUGCAGACAGAGCUGUCUCAGGUGGAGAGUUGGGGUUUGGCCCCACACAAACACACACACUUAUUUAUA